rnacentral:rRNA from 1 species
GACGAACGCUGGCGGCGUGCUUAACACAUGCAAGUCGAACGGAAAGGCCCUGCUUUUGUGGGGUGCUCGAGUGGCGAACGGGUGAGUAACACGUGAGUAACCUGCCCUUGACUUUGGGAUAACUUCAGGAAACUGGGGCUAAUACCGGAUAGGAGCUCCUGCUGCAUGUUGGGGGUUGGAAAGUUUCGGCGGUUGGGGAUGGACUCGCGGCUUAUCAGCUUGUUGGUGGGGUAGUGGCUUACCAAGGCUUUGACGGGUAGCCGGCCUGUGAGGGUGACCGGCCACAUUGGGACUGAGAUACGGCCCAGACUCCUACGGGAGGCAGCAGUGGGGAAUAUUGCACAAUGGGCGGAAGCCUGAUGCAGCAACGCCGCGUGCGGGAUGACGGCCUUCGGGUUGUAAACCGAUUUCGCCUGUGACGAAGCGUGAGUGACGGUAAUGGGUAAAGAAGCACCGGCUAACUACGUG